ensembl:lncRNA
GUCUACAGACAGGAGGACCGCCAGCCCAGCACAACUGCACAGUAUGACUGCCAUGCCUAGGGCCACAGCACAAGGUGGUCGCCAGUCCAGCACCACAGCACAAGGUGGUCGCCAGUCCAGCACCACGGUGCAAGAUGGCUGCCAGCCCAGCGCCACGGCGCAAGAUGGCCGCCAGCCCAGCGCCACAGCACAAGGUGGCCGCCGGCCCAGCGCCACAGCACAAGAUGGCCGCUGGCCCAGAGUCAUUGCACAAGAUGGCCGCCUGUCCAGCGCCUCUGCACAAGAUGACAUCCCCAUUGACCCUCCCGAGUCGAGUCAGGUUCCCGUUGACCCUCCAGAGUCAGGUAAAGUCAUCAUUGACACUCCAGAGUCAGGUCAAGUCACCAUUGACACUCACCGUUUACACUCCAGAGUCGGGUCAGGUCACUGUUUACACUCCAGAGUCGGGUCAGGUCACCGUUUACACUCCAGAGUCAGGUCAGGUCACCAUUUACACUCCAGAGUCAGGUCAAGUCAUCAUUGACACUCCAGAGUCAGGUCAAGUCACCAUUGACACUCACCGUUUACACUCCAGAGUUGAGUCAGGUUCCCGUUGACCCUCCAGAAUCAGGUCAAGUCAUCAUUGACACUUCAGAGUCAGGUCAAGUCACCGUUGACACUCCAGAGUCAGGUCAAGUCACCGUUGACACUCCAGAGUUAGGUCAAGUCAACGUUGACAAUCCAGAGUUAGGUCAAGUCACAGUUGACACUCCAGAGUCAGGUCAAGUCACCGUUGACACUCCAGAGUCAGGUCAAGUCACCGUUGACACUCCAGAGUCAGGUCAAGUCACCGUUGACACUCAUGAGUUAUGCACUACCACAGUUAGACCUCAGGAGUCAAGUCAAGUCAUCGGUGAUCUUCAAGGGCAAAGUCAAGUCACCAAUGAUCUUCCUGGGCAAAGUCAAGUCACCAGUGUUCUUCAUGGGCAAAGUCAAGUCACCAGUGUUCUUCAUGAGAAAAGUCAAGUCACCAGUGUUCUUCAUGAGAAAAGUCAAGUCACCAGUGUUCUUCAUGGGCAAAGUCAAGUCACCAGUGUUCUUCAUGGGCAAAGGCAAGUCACCAGUGUUCUUCAUGGGCAAAGUCAAGUCACCAGUGUUCUGCAUGGGCAAAGUCAAGUCACCAAUUAUCUUCCUGAAUCCAGUCUAAACACAACGGAUCCACCAGAAUCUCUCCACGUCUCUGCUGAACUACCAGAGUCUCUCCACGUCUCUGCUGAACUACCAGAGUCUCUCCACGUCUCUGCUGAACUACAAGAGCCUCUCCACAUCUUUGCUGAACUACCAGAGUCUCUCCACCUCUCUGCUGAACUACCAGAGCCUCUCCUCAUCUCUACGGAACUUCCAGAGUCUCGUCACAUCUCAGCCGAACUCUCUGAGCGCUCGACUUAUCCUGUCGUGGCCACGGAGGCCACCCUUAACCUGUUCAUGUUCUCUGUUUCAGACUUGCGUAACCAGACUUGCUCUCCUGUGUCAUCGAUCCCACUGUGGUGGUCUUCGGCGCCUCCCUGGUGGGCUCCUGUCCUGACCGCACGGCUGUGGUGGUCUUCUGCGCCGCCCUGGUGGGCUUCUGUCUCGACCUCAUGGAUGUGGUGGUUUUCCGGGACUCUGGUGGGCUUCUGUCUCGACCACACGGAUGUAGUGGUCUUCUGCACCGCUCUGAUGGGCUUUCAUUUAUCUCCUGGCCUUGUGUUUUGUUGUUGUUUUGUUUUUGUUUUUUGCACUUCCUGUAGCUGUUACCCUCUAUUACCUGUCCCUCCAUCCCUCCCCCUGGUCCUCCCCCAUUCCACUUCCCUCCUGGUCUCCUUGUUUUUGUUUUUUUGCACUUCCUGUCUCUGUUUCCCUAUAUUACCUGGCCCUCUGUCCAUCCCCCUGGUCCUCCGCCGGUCCAACUCCCUCCUGGUCUCUUUGUUUUUGUUGUUUGCACUUCCUGUUUCUGUUUCCCUCUGUUGCCUGGCCCUCCGUCCCUCCCCCGGUCCUCCGCCGGUCCGCCUCCCUCCUGGUCUCUGUGUUCCUUGGCUGUUCUUGUGUUUGGGUGGAGCAUCUGGUAGCUGCUCCGUAGAGGAGGGGUAAUGUCACGGUGUCUGUUCUGUCUUUCCCCGGGUGUCCACUAGUGGUCUCACUUCCCCAUAGGCACCUCACCUCAGGCACUACAAUUCCCACAAGUCAUUGUCCCUUCAUCACAGUAAUUGCACUCCUGUUAAUUGCACUCAGGUGUCUUCACUUCAUAGUCAUUACUCUGCCUAUUUAAACCGGUCUGUUUCUGUUUGUGUAUGGAGUCUUUACUUUCCGUCACCCAGUUUCCUUGCGUUCCUAGUUUUCGAGUUCCUGUUCCUGUUUGUUUGUUUGUUUAUGUUUUGGAUUGGUUUUUGGUUUUGACCCCCUGCUUGUUGGAUUCU